CACAGUGGAGGAUGUUCACAUCUUCUCCGCUUUCCCACAAGGCCAAGGUGCUGCUAUGCAGGUGUGAGUCCAGGUCCUAAGACUGCUCUUUCUGUAAUCCCCCCUUCUUUGGCUCCCUGGCACUGCCUGGUCCUGGGGUGCCUCUGGACCCUCUGUUCCUCCUUCUAGCAGGGUCCUGCUCAUCAACAGUCAUGGACAACUGACCUGAUCACUAAAACCCACAACAGCAGGAAUUAUAGCUGGUAUAUAUUCAGCUUCCCAGAGAUCCUGAGUCCUUAAUUCCCCUCAGCACUGUUUGAGGUGAGCAACUACAACUACACAAGACAAAGACGAAAGACUUUUUCAGCUCAAAAAUCCUGUGAUUCUUUGAUUCUAAGAAGAGAUUUUCUGACAAGGAGUUUGCCUAAGAGUCCACCCGGCUUGUGUCUCCUCCCAGUUGCCGGCCUGCCGGCGUGGGCUGCCUGUGGAGAGGGGCCGUAGGCCUGUGUUGUGAAUGACGUCUGCAGGGCACGGGGUUGACUUUGAAGAAGGUGUGAUCCUAAGUUGUGUUUGACCUGAGCUCCUGUCACCCCUGAAGGCAGCAGAGGAUGUCCUGUCAGUGACCCAGGAGGAUGGCUUCCUGAGCCCAUUGCACAGAAGGGCUUUCGUGGUUGGUUUGCCCCGCUGUGAGUUUUUUCCCUGCCUUUGAAAGCCUAGAUUGGGUUUCCCAUUUCGUGGCCCUUUGGAAGGGCCAAUGGCUCCCCAUUUGACAGGCUGCCCUGA
rnacentral:lncRNA from 1 species